AGGCCAAUGCUGAAUUAUUAUCUUGACGAGAAAUGAUGAUGUAAAAAUUAAGCUUAGUAGGAUUACACUGAGGCCC
ensembl:snoRNA SNORD115 Small nucleolar RNA SNORD115